rnacentral:rRNA from 1 species
UGAACGCUAGCGACAGGCUAACACAUGCAAGUCGAGGGGCGAGCAUGGGCAUAGCAAUAUGCCUGAUGGCGGACCGGCGCACUGGUGAGUAACACGUAUGCAACCUGCCCCCUACAGGGGAUAAUCCAGAGAAAUUUGGUCUAAUACCCCGUAGUCAGCGAGAGGGCAUCCUCUCACUGGGAAAGCUCCGGCGGUAGGGGAUGGGCAUGCGGCGCAUUAGCUGGUUGGGCGGGGUGACGGCCCACCAAGGCGACGAUGCGUAGGGUUCUGAGAGGAAGGUCCCCCACACUGGUACUGAGACACGGACCAGACUCCUACGGGAGGCAGCAGUGAGGAAUAUUGGUCAAUGGGCGCAGGCCUGAACCAGCCAAGUCGCGUGCGGGAAGACGGCCCUACGGGUUGUAAACCGCUUUAGCCGGGGAGUAACGUGCGCCACGCGUGGCGCAGUGAGAGUACCCGGAGAAUAAGCAUCGGCUAACUCCGUGCCAGCAGCUGC